CCAAGCGCAGAGAUCACCAGGGACCGUUCAUAUAUUUUACCCUAUCACGUUCCAGAAUUUGGGCUUUAUUUCUCUCAGAUUAACCGGGCGUGCCCUGAGCAUUUCCUCCUGGGACUCUUUGAGAGGAGGCACUACUUUUAGCUUGCAUAUUUUAAUGAAAGUACAGAGCAUUCCAUUCCUUGGUCCUUCUCUGUAAUAUCCGAGGCAUUUUUGGCAGCGACGCGGGAACAAUAUGGGCCUGUGUUGUUUCAUCCAGGUGAUUUAUCUUUAAUGUAGCCUUCGCAUUGUUGCUUUUUAAUCGUUUAUAAUUUGGAAGGGCAGAGUUUAAAAGAGUGGAGACUAAAAUUCUAGUCCUCAAGAUUUGUCGACGCCAACAAAACACUCGUCUUUGCCGUUUCAGGAUGUGCGAAGGGGAGAAAAGGAAGCUAGUCAUCCCUUCGGAGCUGGGUUAUGGAGAUCGGGGAGCACCGCCCAAAAUCCCAGGCGGUGCCACGCUCAUCUUUGAAGUUGAACUGCUGAAGAUUGAGCGUCGCCAAGAACUAUAGCGGCGCGUCUCGUCCAAGGAAGAGGGGCUCGCGGGGUAGGGGGCCGCACGCGGAAAAACGGGCCGGACGGGCCGGAGAAGGAGCUGGAAAAGGGGUUUGUCACUCCUUAAAUGGGCCAAAUAAAUUUUAAAAAAAAAGCACA